GGUUGUGGCUCAGAGGUAGAGCGCUUGCCUGGCAUGCCUGAGGCACUGGGGCACUGGGUUCGAUCCUCACACCA
rnacentral:tRNA from 1 species